rnacentral:rRNA from 1 species
GACGAACGCUGGCGGCGUGCUUAACACAUGCAAGUCGAACGAGACGAUUGAAAGCUUGCUUUUAAAAGUCGAGUGGCAAACGGGUGAGUAACGCGUAGACAACCUGCCUUUGAGAUGGGGACAACAGUUCGAAAGGACUGCUAAUACCGAAUGUUGUAUAUUUUCCACAUGGAAGAUAUAUUAAAGAUGGCCUCUAUUUAUAAGCUAUCGCUCAAAGAUGGGUCUGCGUCUGAUUAGGUGGUUGGUGGGGUAACGGCCUACGAAGGCGACGAUCAGUAGCCGGGCUGAGAGGAUGAACGGCCACAUUGGGACUGAGACACGGCCCAGACUCCUACGGGAGGCAGCAGUGGGGAAUCUUCCACAAUGGACGAAAGUCUGAUGGAGCAACGCCGCGUGAGUGAAGAAGGGUUUCGGCUCGUAAAGCUCUGUUGUCGGGGACGAAUGUGCAGUAUUUGAAUAAAGUACUGUAAUGACGGUACCUGACGAGGAAGCCACGGCUAACUUCGUGCCAGCAGCCGCCGUAAAAC